rnacentral:rRNA from 1 species
GGGGAAUCUUCCGCAAUGGACGAAAGUCUGACGGAGCAACGCCGCGUGAGUGAUGACGGCCUUCGGGUUGUAAAGCUCUGUUAAUCGGGACGAAAGGCCUUCUUGCGAAUAGUUAGAAGAAUUGACGGUACCGGAAUAGAAAGCCACGGCUAACUACGUGCCAGCAGCCGCGGUAAUACGUAGGUGGCAAGCGUUGUCCGGAAUUAUUGGGCGUAAAGCGCGCGCAGGCGGAUUGGUCAGUCUGUCUUAAAAGUUCGGGGCUUAACCCCGUGAUGGGAUGGAAACUGCCAAUCUAGAGUAUCGGAGAGGAAAGUGGAAUUCCUAGUGUAGCGGUGAAAUGCGUAGAUAUUAGGAAGAACACCAGUGGCGAAGGCGACUUUCUGGACGAAAACUGACGCUGAGGCGCGAAAGCCAGGGGAGCGAACGGGAUUAGAUACCCCGGUAGUCCUGGCCGUAAACGAUGGGUACUAGGUGUAGGAGGUAUCGACCCCUUCUGUGCCGGAGUUAACGCAAUAAGUACCCCGCCUGGGGAGUACGACCGCAAGGUUG